UGGGAACGUACCCUUCGGUUCGGGAUAACUCAGAGAAACUUGAGCUAAUACCGGAUACGUCCGAGAGGAGAAAGGUUUACUGCCGAAGGAUCGGCCCGCGUCUGAUUAGCUAGUGGUG
rnacentral:rRNA from 1 species